UGACCAUCUUGUGCAUUUAUGAAGAAGACCAAAAGCUGCAAAGGCAAACACUUCCAAUGCUGAAGACCAGAAACGCAAAGAAAAUCAGUCAAACCAGUCCUAAAGAAAUGAGGAGUGAACAUGGACUUCUUGUGCCCCGAAAGAAAAGACAGAAAGAAUGAGCAAAUCAGCUGUGCAUCAUCUCUGUGAUUUGGGAAGGAAAUGACUG